AUUGAACGCUGGCGGCAUGCUUUACACAUGCAAGUCGAACGGCAGCGGGGGCUUCGGCCUGGCGGCGAGUGGCGAACGGGUGAGUAAUAUAUCGGAACGUACCCAAGAGUGGGGGAUAACGUAGCGAAAGUUACGCUAAUACCGCAUACGAUCUAAGGAUGAAAGCAGGGGAUCGCAAGACCUUGUGCUCCGGGAGCGGCCGAUAUCUGAUUAGCUAGUUGGUGAGGUAAAGGCUCACCAAGGCAACGAUCAGUAGCUGGUCUGAGAGGACGACCAGCCACACUGGAACUGAGACACGGUCCAGACUCCUACGGGAGGCAGCAGUGGGGAAUUUUGGACAAUGGGGGCAACCCUGAUCCAGCAAUGCCGCGUGAGUGAAGAAGGCCUUCGGGUUGUAAAGCUCUUUUGUCAGGGAAGAAAAGGCUGUGGCUAAUAUCCACAGCUGCUGACGGUACCUGAAGAAUAAGCACCGGCUAACUACGUGCCAGCCGCCGCGGUAAUAC
rnacentral:rRNA from 1 species